GGAACAGGACAUCGUAGAGGGUGAAAAUCCCGUACUUGCCAUGGAUGCACCGUGCUUUGUGAUACGUGCUCAAAGAGUCGAGUUGUUUGGGAUUGCAGCUCAAAAUGGGUGGUAGACUCCAUCUAAAGCUAAAUAUCGGGGAGAGACCGAUAGCGAACAAGUACCGUGAGGGAAAGAUGAAAAGCACUUUGGAAAGAGAGUUAAAAGUACGUGAAAUUGUCGAAAGGGAAGCGCUUGAAGUCAGCCAUGCCGCUCAGGACUCAGCCUGGCUUUUGCUUGGUGUACUUCCUGGGUAGCAAGUCAGCAUUGGUUUGGACCGUCGGAGAAGCAUGGCAGGAAUGUGACGCCCUCGGGCGUGUUAUAGCCUGCCAUUGGAUACGCCGGUCUAGACCAAGGAACGCAGUGCGCCUUACGGCGGGUCUUCGGACACCUUCGCACUUAGGAUGCUGGCGUAAUGGCUUUAAGCGGCCCGUCUUG
rnacentral:rRNA from 1 species